AUAGCAUAUCAAUAAGCGGAGGAAAAGAAACUAACAAGGAUUCCCCUAGUAACUGCGAGUGAAGAGGGAAGAGCUCAAAUUUAAAAUCUGGCAGUGUUUCGCUGUCCGAGUUGUAAUCUAGAGAAGUGCUGCCCGUGCUGGACCAUGUACAAGUCUCCUGGAAUGGAGCGUCACAGAGGGUGAGAAUCCCGUCUUUGACAUGGACUGCCAGUGCAUUUGUGGUGUGCUCUCAAAGAGUCGAGUUGUUUGGGAAUGCAGCUCUAAAUGGGUGGUAAACUCCAUCUAAAGCUAAAUAUUGGCGAGAGACCGAUAGCGAACAAGUACCGUGAGGGAAAGAUGAAAAGAACUUUGGAAAGAGAGUUAAACAGUAUGUGAAAUUGUUGAAAGGGAAACGCUUAAAGUCAGUCAUGUCGGCCAGGGAUCAACCCAGUCAUUUUGCUGGGUGUACUUCCUGAUCUGAUGGGCCAACAUCAGUUUUGACUGCUGGAAAAGGGCAGAGGGAAUGUGGCACUUUCGGGUGUGUUAUAGCUCUCUGUCAGAUACAGUGGUUGGGACUGAGGAAAGCAGCAUGCCGCAAGGCCGGGUUUCGACCACGUUCAUGCUGAGGAUGUUGGCAUAAUGGCUUUAAUCGACCCGUCUUGAAACACGGACCAAGGAGUCUAACAUGCCUGCGAGUAUUUGAGUGGUAAACUCAAGUGCGGAAUGAAAGUGAAAAGUUGAGAUCCUCGUCAUGGGGAGCAUCGAUGCCCGGACCUGAGCUUUUAGCAAAGGAUCUGCGGUAGAGCAUGCAUGUUAGGACCCGAAAGAUGGUGAACUAUGCCUGAAUAGGGUGAAGCCAGAGGAAACUCUGGUGGAGGCUCGUAGCGAUUCUGACGUGCAAAUCGAUCGUCAAAUUUGGGUAUAGGGGCGAAAGACUAAUCGAACCAUCUAGUAGCUGGUUCCUGCCGAGUCUCCCCCUAAGAUAAA
rnacentral:rRNA from 1 species